rnacentral:rRNA from 1 species
AAAUAGAACUUUGCAGAGAGAGUUAACAGGGCGUGAAACCGUUAAUUGGCAAACGAAUCGGAGCCACGAAGUCGUUUCGCUGGAGUUGGGCCAGGUUCAGUCGGCAACGAGAGUUGCCGGUGUACUUCUGGUUUGACCCAAUGUUUACGUACACUGCAACCAGUUGGACAAUUGGCGAUGGGCACAGCCGAGUUAGUGGUGGUUCGCUACCGAGCUCGCGUCGCGUGAACUAUCGGCCAAACACUGACUGGCAAAAGUAAAAUCGCCCGUAUGGGCGUUUUAAAGAAGGCGCUGGUCGUCUCGAGUGUUCACACGUUUGGCCGUGCGGUCUUAAGCUCAGCAUUCUUGAAUUUGGACUUGCUUGCUACCAGUUGGGGCAACCCCUGGUGCUUGUACAGAUUCAUCUAAUCGGGUGUUGACUUGGCCGUGCGAAGUGCGGACGUGCUACGCUGUUCGCUCGAGACAGGCUGGUCGCAAUCGAUUGGCAGUGAGUAGGUCGGCUUUCCGAACGACCCGUCUUGAAACACGGACCAAGGAGUCUAAUUAGGCAUCGAGUCGAUCGGUCUUGAAUAGGCCAGCGAGUGGGUUUCCCCGCGAGAAGGCGAAGAGACAUGUGAUUGCUGGGCAACAACAGCCCUAGCACGCAACAUGUGCCUGUUCGUAUAGCAUUGUCUUGAAUGCUGAGCGGAGUAUGGAGAUGCUUGAUUGGUACCCGAAAGAUGGUGAUGCUUGGGCAAAUUGAAGCCAGAGGAAACUCUGGUGGAGGAUUUAGCUGACGUGCAAAUCGAUCGUCAGACCUGAGUAUAGGGGCGAAAGACUAAUCGAACCAUC